rnacentral:rRNA from 1 species
UGGUGGAGUGAUUUGUCUGGUUAAUUCCGUUAACGAACGAGACCGUCGCCUGCUAAAUAGUGACCGGAUUCUCCGGAAUGCGGGAGUACACUUCUUAGAGGGACUUCUUGUGCUUAGCAAGAGGAAGUUGGCGGCAAAAACA